AAUAUUGGACAAUGGGGGCAACCCUGAUCCAGCCAUGCCGCGUGUGUGAAGAAGGUCGUCGGAUUGUAAAGCACUUUAAGUUGGGAGGAAGGGGUUGAAGCUAAUACCUUCAAUCUUUGACGUUACCAACAGAAUGAUCACCCGCUAACUCUGUGCCAGCAGCCGAGGUAAUACAGAGGGUGCAAGCGUUAAUCGGAAUUACUGGGCGUAAAGCGCGCGUAGGUGGUUCAGUAAGAUGGAAGUGAAAUCCCCGGGCUUAACCUGGGAACUGCUUUCAUAACUGCUGAGCUAGAGUACGGUAGAGGGUAGUGGAAUUUCCUGUGUAUCGGUGAAAUGCGUAGAUAUAGGAAGGAACACCAGUGGCGAAGGCGACUACCUGGACUGAUACUGACACUGAGGUGCGAAAGCGUGGGGAGCAAACAGG
rnacentral:rRNA from 1 species